AAAUUGAAGAGUUUGAUCAUGGCUCAGAUUGAACGCUGGCGGCAGGCCUAACACAUGCAAGUCGAGCGGUAGCACAGAGAGCUUGCUCUCGGGUGACGAGCGGCGGACGGGUGAGUAAUGUCUGGGAAACUGCCUGAUGGAGGGGGAUAACUACUGGAAACGGUAGCUAAUACCGCAUAAUGUCGCAAGACCAAAGUGGGGGACCUUCGGGCCUCAUGCCAUCAGAUGUGCCCAGAUGGGAUUAGCUAGUAGGUGGGGUAACGGCUCACCUAGGCGACGAUCCCUAGCUGGUCUGAGAGGAUGACCAGCCACACUGGAACUGAGACACGGUCCAGACUCCUACGGGAGGCAGCAGUGGGGAAUAUUGCACAAUGGGCGCAAGCCUGAUGCAGCCAUGCCGCGUGUGUGAAGAAGGCCUUCGGGUUGUAAAGCACUUUCAGCGGGGAGGAAGGCGUUAAGGUUAAUAACCUCAUCGAUUGACGUUACCCGCAGAAGAAGCACCGGCUAACUCCGUGCCAGCAGCCGCGGUAAUACGGAGGGUGCAAGCGUU
rnacentral:rRNA from 1 species